rnacentral:rRNA from 1 species
CGGGUGCGUAACGCGUAUGCAACCUACCAUCAACAGGGGGAUAACACUGAGAAAUUGGUACUAAUACCCCAUAAUAUCUCAUGCGGCAUCGCAUGGGGUUGAAAACUCCGGUGGUUGAUGAUGGGCAUGCGUUGUAUUAGCUGGUUGGUGAGGUAACGGCUCACCAAGGCGACGAUGCGUAGGGGUUCUGAGAGGAAGGUCCCCCACACUGGUACUGAGACACGGACCAGACUCCUACGGGAGGCAGCAG